rnacentral:rRNA from 1 species
UUUGUUACGACUUAUCUCCUCUUAAGAGGAGAGUGACGGGCGAUAUGUGCACACUUUAUUACCUUAUUCAGUAAACUUUACUUAAAUUAACUUACUAAUAAAUCCACCUUCCACUAAUUUUAAAUUAAGUAUCCGUUUUCUUAAUAGAAUUGUAGCUCACCUCCACCUUAACAUAUACUGCACCUUGACCUGAAGUUAAAAAAUUUUUUUUUUCUUGAAAACAUCCUUUUAGAGUAAUCUGACAACGGCGGUAUACAAGCUAUACUAGUUAAGGUAAGAUUAAACGAGGUCUAUCGAUUAUGGGGCAAGCUCCUCUAUUUGGUUAAAGUGCCGCCAAAAUCUUUGGGUUUGAAGAACAACUUUUACUACCCUAUUUUAAGUAUGAUUUAGAAUAACAGGGUAUCUAAUCCUGGUUUAUCCUCUAAACUUUCUAGUUCCUAUAAAUUAUAAAAGAAUUAUUAGUAUCUUAUAUAAAUUUCACCUAAAAAAGAUAUAAAUAUAACUAAUCUAAUCCAUUGUUAACUAGUCUAAACAUGUAUUCUACUUGAACUCUUCGUUUAACC